CUGGAANUGAGACACGGUCCAGACUCCUACGGGAGGCAGCAGUGGGGAAUCUUGCGCAAUGGGCGAAAGCCUGACGCAGCGACGCCGCGUGAGCGAUGAAGGCCUUCGGGUUGUAAAGCUCUGUGGGGAGAGAAGAAUAAGUUCCGGCUAAUACCCGGAGCGAUGACGGUAUCUCCUUAGCAAGCACCGGCUAACUCUGUGCCAGCAGCCGCGGUAAGACAGAGGGUGCAAACGUUGUUCGGAAUUACUGGGCGUAAAGCGCGUGUAGGCGGCAGGGCAAGUCGGAUGUGAAAGCCCACGGCUCAACCGUGGAAGUGCACCCGAAACUGCCUCGCUAGAGUCUCGGAGAGGAAGGUGGAAUGCUUGGUGUAGAGGUGAAAUUCGUAGAUAUCAAGCGGAACACCGGUGGCGAAGGCGGCCUUCUGGACGAUGACUGACGCUGAGACGCGAAAGCGUGGGGAGCAAACAGGAUUAGAUACCCUGGUAGUCCACGCCGUAAACGAUGAGUGCUAGGUGUCACGGGCUUUGACCCUCGUGGUGCCGAAGCUAACGCGUUAAGCACUCCGCCUGGGGAGUACGGCCGCAAGGCUAAAACUC
rnacentral:rRNA from 1 species